rnacentral:rRNA from 3 species
UUAAGUUAUUAAGGGCGCACGGUGGAUGCCUUGGCACUAGAAGCCGAUGAAGGACGUUACUAACGACGAUAUGCUUUGGGUAGCUGUAAGUAAGCGUUGAUCCAGAGAUUUCCGAAUGGGGGAACCCAGCAUGAGUUAUGUCAUGUUAUCGACAUGUGAAUUCAUAGCAUGUCAGAAGGCAGACCCGGAGAACUGAAACAUCUUAGUACCCGGAGGAAGAGAAAGAAAAAUCGAUUCCCUGAGUAGCGGCGAGCGAAACGGGAAGAGCCCAAACCAACAAGCUUGCUUGUUGGGGUUGUAGGACACUCUAUACGGAGUUACAAAAGAACAUGUUAGACGAAUCAUCUGGAAAGAUGAAUCAAAGAAGGUAAUAAUCCUGUAGUCGAAAACAUAUUCUCUCUUGAGUGGAUCCUGAGUACGACGGAGCACGUGAAAUUCCGUCGGAAUCUGGGAGGACCAUCUCCUAAGGCUAAAUACUCUCUAGUGACCGAUAGUGAACCAGUACCGUGAGGGAAAGGUGAAAAGUACCCCGGAAGGGGAGUGAAAGAGAACUUGAAACCGUGUGCUUACAAGUAGUCAGAGCCCGUUAAUGGGUGAUGGCGUGCCUUUUGUAGAAUGAACCGGCGAGUUACGAUCUGAUGCAAGGUUAAGCAGCAAAUGUGGAGCCGCAGCGAAAGCGAGUCUGAAUAGGGCGUUGAGUAUUUGGUCGUAGACCCGAAACCAGGUGAUCUACCCUUGGUCAGGUUGAAGUUCAGGUAACACUGAAUGGAGGACCGAACCGACUUACGUUGAAAAGUGAGCGGAUGAACUGAGGGUAGCGGAGAAAUUCCAAUCGAACUUGGAGAUAGCUGGUUCUCUCCGAAAUAGCUUUAGGGCUAGCCUCAAGUGAUGAUUAUUGGAGGUAGAGCACUGUUUGGACGAGGGGCCCCUCUCGGGUUACCGAAUUCAGACAAACUCCGAAUGCCAAUUAAUUUAACUUGGGAGUCAGAACAUGGGUGAUAAGGUCCGUGUUCGAAAGGGAAACAGCCCAGACCACCAGCUAAGGUCCCAAAAUAUAUGUUAAGUGGAAAAGGAUGUGGCGUUGCCCAGACAACUAGGAUGUUGGCUUAGAAGCAGCCAUCAUUUAAAGAGUGCGUAAUAGCUCACUAGUCGAGUGACACUGCGCCGAAAAUGUACCGGGGCUAAACAUAUUACCGAAGCUGUGGAUUGUCCUUUGGACAAUGGUAGGAGAGCGUUCUAAGGGCGUCGAAGCAUGAUCGCAAGGACAUGUGGAGCGCUUAGAAGUGAGAAUGCCGGUGUGAGUAGCGAAAGACGGGUGAGAAUCCCGUCCACCGAUUGACUAAGGUUUCCAGAGGAAGGCUCGUCCGCUCUGGGUUAGUCGGGUCCUAAGCUGAGGCCGACAGGCGUAGGCGAUGGAUAACAGGUUGAUAUUCCUGUACCACCUAGUAUCGUUUUAAUCGAUGGGGGGACGCAGUAGGAUAGGCGAAGCGUGCUGUUGGAGUGCACGUCCAAGCAGUAAGGCUGAGUGUUAGGCAAAUCCGGCACUCAUAAGGCUGAGCUGUGAUGGGGAGAGGAAAUUGUUUCCUCGAGUCGCUGAUUUCACACUGCCGAGAAAAGCCUCUAGAUAGAUAACAGGUGCCCGUACCGCAAACCGACACAGGUAGUCAAGAUGAGAAUUCUAAGGUGAGCGAGCGAACUCUCGUUAAGGAACUCGGCAAAAUGACCCCGUAACUUCGGGAGAAGGGGUGCUCUUUAGGGUUCACGCCCAGAAGAGCCGCAGUGAAUAGGCCCAAGCGACUGUUUAUCAAAAACACAGGUCUCUGCUAAACCGUAAGGUGAUGUAUAGGGGCUGACGCCUGCCCGGUGCUGGAAGGUUAAGAGGAGUGGUUAGCUUCUGCGAAGCUACGAAUCGAAGCCCCAGUAAACGGCGGCCGUAACUAUAACGGUCCUAAGGUAGCGAAAUUCCUUGUCGGGUAAGUUCCGACCCGCACGAAAGGCGUAACGAUUUGGGCACUGUCUCAACGAGAGACUCGGUGAAAUCAUAGUACCUGUGAAGAUGCAGGUUACCCGC